rnacentral:rRNA from 1 species
AUACAGAGGGUGCGAGCGUUAUUCGGAAUCACUGGGCGUAAGGGGAGCGUAGGCUGUAGGGUAAGUCAGAUGUGAAAUCUCAGAGCUCAACUCUGAAACUGCAUCCGAUACUGCCGUACUAGAGUAAUGGAGGGGUAACUGGAAUUCUCGGUGUAGCAGUGAAAUGCGUAGAUAUCGAGAGGAAGACCAACGGCGAAGGCAGGUUACUGGACAUUUACUGACGCUGAGGCUCGAAGGCUAGGGUAGCGAAAGGGAUUAGAAACCCUUGUAGUCC